GCAGCCAAUGACAGCAGGGGUCAGUGUUACGUCUGAGCUACGAUAGGCUGGAGGAAAUCGGCCCAUGACCAGCCCCUCCUCUUCCGCUCCAUCGCCAUGGCGGAGAUCAGCGAGUCGCUUCUGUCGGUGUCGCCGGCCUCGGCGCCCACAAGGACGGUUGUGAUUCCCCUUUGCGCCUCGGUGGGUCUGUUUCGGGGACGUCUGUGGUGGCUGACGAAACAUGCUUUGACAGGGAGCGAGCGAGGGACAAUGACUACAACUCCCAGAAGGCCCCACUGAUGACGUUGUGGUGUUGUUCAGGGCUUUCCCACCACAGAUGUAAGGCUCAAUGGUCUAUAAUUAUCGGGACUAUCCCUACUACCCUUUUUGAACAAGGGGACAACAUUCGCCUCCCUCCAAUACUCCGGUACAAUUUCCGUGGACAAUGAGGACAUAAUGAUCUUCGCCAGAGGCUCAGCAAUCUAUUUCCUUUCCUUGGAUGCAGAACUGGGAAGCGCAGAUGGAGUUCAACACAGAUGAAGAGGUUCAUUUCUGCAGGUCAAAUUUGAACAAAGAAUAUAAUAUUAAUGGAUUAAUGGACCUGCACUUGAUUGGAAAUGAUAUGGUCAAACUCCUUAAAAGGUGUCAAUGGUGAGAUUUCCAGGCAUGUGGACAGAUAAUAAGCUGACAUUGAAGCACCGGAUCAGAAAAUAAUUGAUAAAUGUAAAGAAACAUUAAAUACUCUUCGUUAUCCCUGUGAGUAUUCUUGGGUGUGACAUGAAAAUAUUCAUUGACCAAUCUCGUUUGUUUAAUUGGAUCUGUUCUUGAUUAUGUUUGUGGUUUAUAGAUCACCUUCCUCUUCAACUUUAUGAUGUUUGGGUGUGAUUCAUUUCGUGCUUUAAGAUUGUGUUGUGGUUAAGUCAGGUCGUCCCCUGAUUCGGCUUUACUGGUUGAAAUGGAACAAUUGCCCUUCCAGGGACAGAGGUGGAAGUUGACGUUAACAAAUUGGAUUGAACAUCCUGUGCUAAAGGGUGGUGGGGAACAUCACAAGAAGAAUGCUUUUAUUUCUGGGUGGCUGGGUUCUUAUCACGCUGGGAAUAUGGGUGUAUUGGAUGAUACAAUAUGUUCCACUGUAGCUUUCUCGGUAACCCCACUUUGUUGUUUUUUCAAAUGACUGCAGUUAAUUUUAGGUUACACAAUUGGAUUCCAUUCUGCCUGAGCGUCUGUUGGUUCACGAGUAUAUUAAUGAAAGUUAUUAUCAUACGGUCAGCACUUUUUACAGAUGGAUUAAAACGUAAUUUAACUGGGAAUGUUGGUGUCUCUGUUCUCAUUUUUUGUGUGUGCCUGAGUUGCAGGCAAUGAUAAAGAAAUCACUUACCAGCCAUUUGUGGGUAUAUGGAGCAGAAUUCUUUGCUUUGAUUUUAGGGUUACAGUGUGUGGAGGAAAUUGGUCCUUGCAAACUUGUAAUUUGUUCAGAUUCUCUUUCGGUUUUGAUGAGCCUUAAAAUAGGACAUUCUAGCAGUAGGUCAGAUUGACUGUUGGAAACUCAUCAAGCAUUAUUUCAUAUACAAAGUUCGGUUCAUAUGUCUGCACCUUAUGGGCCCUGCACAUCGCACUGUUGAGGGAAAUGAUGGAGUUGACUGUUUAGCAACAAAACCUGUUAGAAGUUCAACUGAGGAUAUAGACAUUCCACUUCGCAAAUCAGAGGCUAAGGGGAUGGGAGGGUUAAGAAUUCAGGACUUAUGGCAAGAUCCGCAGUAAAAUUGACAUAAGGACUGACGCCUUUACAGAAUACAUAAACAAGUUGGGUUUUUGGAAGAAGGGCUUAAAACAGGAAGGGAAGGAAUGAUAUUGACACGACUUAAAAAUGCCAACACUAUGCUUAAUUAUGCCUUGUAUCUAAUUAGAAAACUUCAUUCUGUGUCACAGGACCAGAGAACACUACAGCACAGAACAGGUCCUUCAGCCCUCCAUGUUGUACCGACCCAUAUAAUCCUUAAAAGAAGUACUAAACCCACAGUACCCCAUAACCCUCUAAUUUUCUUUCAUCCAUGUGCCUGUCCAAGAGGUUCUUAAAUACCCCUAAUGUUUUAGCCUCCACCACCAACCAUGGCAAGUCAUUCCAGGCACUCACAACCCUCUGUGUAAAAAAACUUACCCCUGAUGUCUCCCCUAAACUUCCAUCCCUUAAUUUUGUACCUAUGUCCUCUGGUGUUUGUUAUUGGUGCCCUGGGGAACAGGUACUGACUAUCCACCCUAUCUAUGCCUCUCAUAAUCUUCUAGACCUCUAUCAAGUCCCCUCUCAUUCCUCUACGUUUCAAAGAAAAAGGUCCCAGCUCUGCUAACCUUGCUUCAUAUGACUGUCGUGUACAUUUUGUCAUUAUGAAUCUUUUAAGUGUGAAGCAGAUACAGGUGAAAAAAAUCAAAUGCAUUCAGUACCAUCUUGGAGGGGUUGAUAGUUUUCAGAUAAAAACUUUAUUAAGUUAAAGGACUGGCAUUAAAUUAAUUCACUGUAUUGAACAGGCAAAGGCAUAUUGGAAUGGAAACAUCCCAAUUGUUUUGGGACGUUACUCUGGGGAUGACGGCUUAACAGAGGUGGCUGACGGAUGUGGGAAUACCAGGAGAGACAUGUCCCACCAAAGAAGUUCUCCAAUGGCAGUGGUGGGAAUCCAUGGCUGACAAGGGAAGUUAACGACUGUGUUAACUCUAAGGAAAUGACAUAUAGGUAGCAAAGUUCAGUGGGAUGUUGGAUUAUUGGGAUGGUCUUAAAAUCCAACAAAAGGCAAUGAAAAAACCAUAAGAAUGGUCAAGAUGAAAUAUGAGGGCAAACUGGCCAAUAAUAUAAAUCAGGAUACUAAAAGUUUAGUUUUCAGUUACAUGAAGAGUGAAAGGGAGAUGAGAGUUGAUACUAGACCACUGGAAAAUGAUGCUGGUGAAGUAGUAAUGGGGGACAAAGAAAUGGCAGAUGAACUUAAUGAACAAUCUUCACUGUCUUUUCUGGUCAGCACCGCCACCACUUGUCCCAUUUAACCUGUUUCAGUUCGUGUGGACUGUAGCACCCGGGGGAGCUCAGGACCCUAUUCUAUUCUGUUGUUGGACGCGGUGAACGAGUUAAAAUUAAUGGAUCGAUAAUUCUCAUCUCAUGAUUAUUUCACUCUCCGCUCAUUUACA